rnacentral:rRNA from 1 species
UGGGGAAUAUUGCACAAUGGGCGCAAGCCUGAUGCAGCCAUGUCGCGUGUAUGAAGAAGGCCUUCGGGUUGUAAAGUACUUUCAGCGGGGAGGAAGGGAGUAAAGUUAAUACCUUUGCUCAUUGACGUUACCCGCAGAAGAAGCACCGGCUAACUCCGUGCCAGCAGCCGCGGUAAUACGGAGGGUGCAAGCGUUAAUCGGAAUUACUUGGCGUAAAGCGCACGCAGGCGGUUUGUUAAGUCAGAUGUGAAAUCCCCGGGCUCAACCUGGGAACUGCAUCUGAUACUGGCAAGCUUGAGUCUCGUAGAGGGGGGUAGAAUUCCAGGUGUAGCGGUGAAAUGCGUAGAGAUCUGGAGGAAUACCGGUGGCAAAGGCGGCCCCCUUGACGAAGACUGACGCUCAGGUGCGAAAGCGUGGGGAGCAAACGGG